GGGUUGUGAGGUUAAGCGACUAAGCGUACACGGUGGAUGCCCUGGCAGUCAGAGGCGAUGAAGGACGUGCUAAUCUGCGAUAAGCGUCGGUAAGGUGAUAUGAACCGUUAUAACCGGCGAUUUCCGAAUGGGGAAACCCAGUGUGUUUCGACACACUAUCAUUAACUGAAUCCAUAGGUUAAUGAGGCGAACCGGGGGAACUGAAACAUCUAAGUACCCCGAGGAAAAGAAAUCAACCGAGAUUCCCCCAGUAGCGGCGAGCGAACGGGGAGCAGCCCAGAGCCUGAAUCAGUGUGUGUGUUAGUGGAAGCGUCUGGAAAGGCGCGCGAUACAGGGUGACAGCCCCGUACACAAAAAUGCACAUAUUGUGAGCUCGAUGAGUAGGGCGGGACACGUGGUAUCCUGUCUGAAUAUGGGGGGACCAUCCUCCAAGGCUAAAUACUCCUGACUGACCGAUAGUGAACCAGUACCGUGAGGGAAAGGCGAAAAGAACCCCGGCGAGGGGAGUGAAAAAGAACCUGAAACCGUGUACGUACAAGCAGUGGGAGCCUCUUUUAUGGGGUGACUGCGUACCUUUUGUAUAAUGGGUCAGCGACUUAUAUUCUGUAGCAAGGUUAACCGAAUAGGGGAGCCGAAGGGAAACCGAGUCUUAACUGGGCGUUAAGUUGCAGGGUAUAGACCCGAAACCCGGUGAUCUAGCCAUGGGCAGGUUGAAGGUUGGGUAACACUAACUGGAGGACCGAACCGACUAAUGUUGAAAAAUUAGCGGAUGACUUGUGGCUGGGGGUGAAAGGCCAAUCAAACCGGGAGAUAGCUGGUUCUCCCCGAAAGCUAUUUAGGUAGCGCCUCGUGAAUUCAUCUCCGGGGGUAGAGCACUGUUUCGGCAAGGGGGUCAUCCCGACUUACCAACCCGAUGCAAACUGCGAAUACCGGAGAAUGUUAUCACGGGAGACACACGGCGGGUGCUAACGUCCGUCGUGAAGAGGGAAACAACCCAGACCGCCAGCUAAGGUCCCAAAGUCAUGGUUAAGUGGGAAACGAUGUGGGAAGGCCCAGACAGCCAGGAUGUUGGCUUAGAAGCAGCCAUCAUUUAAAGAAAGCGUAAUAGCUCACUGGUCGAGUCGGCCUGCGCGGAAGAUGUAACGGGGCUAAACCAUGCACCGAAGCUGCGGCAGCGACACUAUGUGUUGUUGGGUAGGGGAGCGUUCUGUAAGCCUGUGAAGGUGUGCUGUGAGGCAUGCUGGAGGUAUCAGAAGUGCGAAUGCUGACAUAAGUAACGAUAAAGCGGGUGAAAAGCCCGCUCGCCGGAAGACCAAGGGUUCCUGUCCAACGUUAAUCGGGGCAGGGUGAGUCGACCCCUAAGGCGAGGCCGAAAGGCGUAGUCGAUGGGAAACAGGUUAAUAUUCCUGUACUUGGUGUUACUGCGAAGGGGGGACGGAGAAGGCUAUGUUGGCCGGGCGACGGUUGUCCCGGUUUAAGCGUGUAGGCUGGUUUUCCAGGCAAAUCCGGAAAAUCAAGGCUGAGGCGUGAUGACGAGGCACUACGGUGCUGAAGCAACAAAUGCCCUGCUUCCAGGAAAAGCCUCUAAGCAUCAGGUAACAUCAAAUCGUACCCCAAACCGACACAGGUGGUCAGGUAGAGAAUACCAAGGCGCUUGAGAGAACUCGGGUGAAGGAACUAGGCAAAAUGGUGCCGUAACUUCGGGAGAAGGCACGCUGAUAUGUAGGUGAAGCGACUUGCUCGUGGAGCUGAAAUCAGUCGAAGAUACCAGCUGGCUGCAACUGUUUAUUAAAAACACAGCACUGUGCAAACACGAAAGUGGACGUAUACGGUGUGACGCCUGCCCGGUGCCGGAAGGUUAAUUGAUGGGGUUAGCGCAAGCGAAGCUCUUGAUCGAAGCCCCGGUAAACGGCGGCCGUAACUAUAACGGUCCUAAGGUAGCGAAAUUCCUUGUCGGGUAAGUUCCGACCUGCACGAAUGGCGUAAUGAUGGCCAGGCUGUCUCCACCCGAGACUCAGUGAAAUUGAACUCGCUGUGAAGAUGCAGUGUACCCGCGGCAAGACGGAAAGACCCCGUGAACCUUUACUAUAGCUUGACACUGAACAUUGAGCCUUGAUGUGUAGGAUAGGUGGGAGGCUUUGAAGUGUGGACGCCAGUCUGCAUGGAGCCGACCUUGAAAUACCACCCUUUAAUGUUUGAUGUUCUAACGUUGACCCGUGAUCCGGGUUGCGGACAGUGUCUGGUGGGUAGUUUGACUGGGGCGGUCUCCUCCUAAAGAGUAACGGAGGAGCACGAAGGUUGGCUAAUCCUGGUCGGACAUCAGGAGGUUAGUGCAAUGGCAUAAGCCAGCUUGACUGCGAGCGUGACGGCGCGAGCAGGUGCGAAAGCAGGUCAUAGUGAUCCGGUGGUUCUGAAUGGAAGGGCCAUCGCUCAACGGAUAAAAGGUACUCCGGGGAUAACAGGCUGAUACCGCCCAAGAGUUCAUAUCGACGGCGGUGUUUGGCACCUCGAUGUCGGCUCAUCACAUCCUGGGGCUGAAGUAGGUCCCAAGGGUAUGGCUGUUCGCCAUUUAAAGUGGUACGCGAGCUGGGUUUAGAACGUCGUGAGACAGUUCGGUCCCUAUCUGCCGUGGGCGCUGGAGAACUGAGGGGGGCUGCUCCUAGUACGAGAGGACCGGAGUGGACGCAUCACUGGUGUUCGGGUUGUCAUGCCAAUGGCACUGCCCGGUAGCUAAAUGCGGAAGAGAUAAGUGCUGAAAGCAUCUAAGCACGAAACUUGCCCCGAGAUGAGUUCUCCCUGACCCUUUAAGGGUCCUGAAGGAACGUUGAAGACGACGACGUUGAUAGGCCGGGUGUGUAAGCGCAGCGAUGCGUUGAGCUAACCGGUACUAAUGAACCGUGAGGCUUAACCUUACAACGCCGAAG
rnacentral:rRNA from 1 species